rnacentral:rRNA from 1 species
GUAGGUGGCAAGCGUUGUCCGGAAUUAUUGGGCGUAAAGCGCGCGCAGGCGGUCCUUUAAGUCUGAUGUGAAAGCCCACGGCUCAACCGUGGUGGGUCAUUGGAAACUGGGGGACUUGAGUACAGAAGAGGAAAGCGGAAUUCCAAGUGUAGCGGUGAAAUGCGUAGAGAUUUGGAGGAACACCAGUGGCGAAGGCGGCUUUCUGGUCUGUAACUGACGCUGAGGCGCGAAAGCGUGGGGAGCAAACAGGAUUAGAUACCCUGGUAGUCCACGCCGUAAACGAUGAGUGCUAAGUGUUAGGGGGUUUCCCGCCCCCCUUAGUGCUGCAGCUAACGCAUUAAGCACUCCGCCUGGGGAGUACGGCCGCAAGGCUG